GACGAACGCUGGCGGCGUGCCUAAUACAUGCAAGUCGAGCGAAUGAAUGGGAGCUUGCUCCUGUUCGUUAGCGGCGGACGGGUGAGUAACACGUGGGCAACCUGCCUGUAAGACUGGGAUAACUUCGGGAAACCGGAGCUAAUACCGGAUAGUUUCUUUCUUCACAUGAAGAGAGAUGGAAAGACGGUUUACGCUGUCACUUACAGAUGGGCCCGCGGCGCAUUAGCUAGUUGGUGAGGUAACGGCUCACCAAGGCGACGAUGCGUAGCCGACCUGAGAGGGUGAUCGGCCACACUGGGACUGAGACACGGCCCAGACUCCUACGGGAGGCAGCAGUAGGGAAUCUUCCGCAAUGGACGAAAGUCUGACGGAGCAACGCCGCGUGAGUGAAGAAGGUUUUCGGAUCGUAAAACUCUGUUGUCAGGGAAGAACAAGUACCAGAGUAACUGCUGGUACCUUGACGGUACCUGACCAGAAAGCCACGGCUAACUACGUGCCAGCAGCCGCAGUAACAC
rnacentral:rRNA from 1 species